GUAGAGAUGCCAGAAGAAUUUCAUGGGGUUAAUUUAGGAUUAGUUUAUGACUUUUAUAGUCUCUCUAUU
rnacentral:tRNA from 1 species